rnacentral:rRNA from 1 species
UACGAAGGGGGCUAGCGUUGCUCGGAAUCACUGGGCGUAAAGGGUGCGUAGGCGGGUCUUUUAAGUCAGGGGUGAAAUCCUGGAGCUCAACUCCAGAACUGCCUUUGAUACUGAAGAUCUUGAGUUCGGGAGAGGUGAGUGGAACUGCGAGUGUAGAGGUGAAAUUCGUAGAUAUUCGCAAGAACACCAGUGGCGAAGGCGGCUCACUGGCCCGAUACUGACGCUGAGAGACGAAAGCUAGGGGAGCAAAUGGG